rnacentral:lncRNA from 1 species
GAGCAACCUAUUUUUAGUCCUAAUUUUUUAACCUAGCCCAAAAUUACCAAACUCAUAAUUCCUAGGUCCAUAAUCUCUUCCGUGUAUAAUAGGGCCUACACCUAAGAACACCUAGAGAUACACAGCAACACACAAACCCCACCCGCGAACGAUCGUCUUCUUGAUACCCAUCCUUAUCAUUCUCUCCAAAUUAAACCAGUGAGCCACUCCAACUCUUCCAUUGAUCAAAUCGCCAAAAGCAGCCAUCACCACUCUCAUUUUCCAAAGAACAACAGAGGAUCUGACAUAAAAAACAUAGGAACUCAGUCGUUCCCCAAUCUGAUUUGCACAAAAAACUCAGAUAAAGAUGAACAGACGCAAGCAGAGUAAGAAGAGGGGUACAAAACAGACAGAAAUUAAAAGGAAGGCUAGGACCUGAAAGUUUUUAUUUUUUUCCUCUGAAAUUUCAGAACAUAUACAUGUAAAUAUUCUAUGUUUUAAGAGUUAAUUGGAUUGAGCUUAAGCAAAAUGGAAAUAUCUCCUGCUUUCUCUUUGCGAUUCCGAGUUCUUGGUUUCAAUUUUUUAUUUCGAUUGAGUUUGAGCUGAGGUCGGGUUUGUCGACGAGAUUCAAGUUCCCACGGUGAAUUUUGAGUUCGUCGAAGCUGCGUUAGUCUGAGAUUCGGGGCAGAUUUGUUUGUCUAUCACGAUGUUAUUUUGGAUCUCUGUUCUUCUCCUUCCAGGUCCACCUUGCAUUUUCUUUCUUGGAUCCUUAUUUUCCUAUCUUUUUGUGCCUGUCUAAUUUGUUUAGAUGAUUUGCAGCAUUAAUUUCUGAUUUGUUUGAGCUUCUUCUUUGUUUCGAAUUUCUUUUGUUAUUAUAAGGAAGUAGUGGAAUUCACAUUUUGUUCUGCAAAUCUGUACCAUUCAGAUAGCAUGUGAAUAACUAAUAAAUUAGAGUGGAGUUGGCAUGGGUGGAAGGUGGAAUUCCCUAAUAUAACUAAUCCUCACCUUGUUGCUCCCUUUCUACACAAAGUUUUGAAUGCCAACAAAUUGAGA